rnacentral:rRNA from 1 species
CUGCCGGUGAUAAACCGGAGGAAGGUGGGGAUGACGUCAAGUCAUCAUGGCCCUUACGAGUAGGGCUACACACGUGCUACAAUGGCAGAUACAAAGAGAAGCGACCUCGCGAGAGCAAGCGGAACUCAUAAAGUCUGUCGUAGUCCGGAUUGGAGUCUGCAACUCGACUCCAUGAAGUCGGAAUCGCUAGUAAUCGUAGAUCAGAAUGCUACGGUGAAUACGUUCCCGGGCCUUGUACACACCGCCCGUCACACCAUGGGAGUGGGUUGCAAAAGAAGUAGGUAGCUUAACCUUCGGGAGGGCGCUUACCACUUUGUGAUUCAUGACUGGGGUGAAGUCGUAACAAGGUAACCGUAGGGGAACCUGCGGUUGGAUCACCU